rnacentral:tRNA from 1 species
GGGAGUGAGUAUUUUCUGGUGAAAUUUCUAGUCUUCAAAACUAUGAUUGAUCUUAGUGUCAAGGAGGGUUCGAUUCCCUUUCUCUCCCGCCA